AAAGUUUUAAGUUAAAUAAACUAUUAACCUUCAAAGUUAAAAAUAAAAAUAAUUUUUUAAACUUUA
rnacentral:tRNA from 1 species